UCGAAACAAAGUAGAAAUACUGGAAAGUAUUUCUAAG
rnacentral:rRNA from 1 species